AGUGAACGCUGGCGGUAGGCCUAACACAUGCAAGUCGAACGGCAGCACAGUAAGAGCUUGCUCUUACGGGUGGCGAGUGGCGGACGGGUGAGGAAUACAUCGGAAUCUACUUUUUCGUGGGGGAUAACGUAGGGAAACUUACGCUAAUACCGCAUACGGCCUACGGGUGAAAGCAGUGGAUCUUCGGACCUUGCGCGAUUGAACGAGCCGAUGUCGGAUUAGCUAGUUGGCGGGGUAAAGGCCCACCAAGGCGACGAUCCGUAGCUGAGCUGAGAGGAUGAUCAGCCACACUAGAACUGAGACACGGUCCAGACUCCUACGGGAGGCAGCAGUGGGGAAUAUUGGACAAUGGGCGCAAGCCUGAUCCAGCCAAACCGCGUGAGUGAAGAAGGCCUUCGGGUUGUAAAGCCCUUUUGUUGGGAAAGAAAAGCAGCGGGUUAAUACCACGCUGUUCUGACGGUACCCAAAGAGUAAGCACCGGCUAACUUCGUG
rnacentral:rRNA from 1 species